UCUAACCUAUCUGAUUCAACGAGGACUUCUUUGUACCUGUUUCACUUGACAAAAGAGAGCUUCCAAGAGGGCUAGGGCUUCGGCCAUUGUCGGAGAAGACGCUCGGACGGACUGUGCGAGGCCGUCGACAAUACAUCUUGUAUGGUCCCAGCAGAUGCAAGCAAUUGCUCUUUCGGUCGACCUUUCAUCGAGAGACACGUUGACAUUUAUCUUCAAAAUACCUUCCGCCAGGGCUACCCAGAUCUGGGGAGAGAUUUGCCACAUGACAGUUGCCAUAGCUGCCAGAGGAGGUUUGUUAGGCGUGUUACCUGUGAAAUUCAUUAACCACACCUCAAAUCGAGUCACUCUCUAUGUUAAAGAUUGGAUUUUUAGAGAUGGGUGUGACCAAACACGUUCUGUCCAGGGGCAUAGUAGAAAAAUAUGUUCAACUGUUUCCACUUCGCUUUGACACAAGCUACAGAUAGGAUCAGGUACUAUGUUUUUCUUCCACAAGUUUUCCUUAGAUGGGAUUGCAUUUUGGCAAAUACUCCAUAGAAAAAUUUUCGCUUUUGUUCUUGUCUGCAUAUUCCAAAUGGCAUUCCAUAGAGCUUUUGGAGUAUGGAAAGAGGAAGAUGGCUGUUGUUGUUGUGACUUGUCUGCCAUUUCUUGCCGAAGUGUUUUAUAGUCAUUUUUAA